GCCUGGUAUGGCAACUGCACCGCCCUCAACCGUAAGGCUCUCCAGAGGGUAGUGAGGUCUGCACAACGCAUCACCGGGGGCAAACUACCUGCCCUCCAGGACACCUACACCACCCGAUGCUACAGGAAGGCCAUAAAGAUCAUCAAGGACAUCAACCACCCGAGCCACUGCCUGUUCACCCCGCUGUCAUCCAGAAGGCGAGGAAUACUGGGUCAUCCAAAUUUUGUCCUGCUCAGUAAUAAAGCAGUGGACCUGUCCAACCCCAAGUCCACAAUGACCACAGUCCACAAUGAUCACAGUCCACAAUGAUCACAGUGUACAAUGACCACACUGCACAUAGACCACAGUGUACAAUGACCACAGUCCACAAUGACCACAGUCCACAAUGUACACUGUGUACAAAGACCACCGUGUUCAAUACCCAUCAUGUACAAUGACCACAGUCCACAAUGUACACAGUGUACAAUGACCACAGUCCACAAUGACCACAGUGUACAAUUACCACACCGUACAAUGACCACAGUCCACAAUGAUCACAGUGUACAAUGACCACAGUGUACAAUUACCACACCGUACAAUGACCACAGUCCACAAUGAUCACAGUGUACAAUGACCACAGUGUACAAUGACCACAGUGUACAAUGACCACAGUCCACAAUGACCACACUGCACAAUGACCACAGUGUACAAUUACCACACCGUACAAUGACCACAGUCCACAAUGAUCACAGUGUACAAUGACCACAGUGUACAAUGACCACACCGUACAAUGACCACAGUCCACAAUGAUCACAGUGUACAAUGACCACAGUGUACAAUGAUCACAGUGUACAAUGACCACAGUGUACAAUUACCACACCGUACAAUGACCACAGUCCACAAUGACCACACUGCACAAUGACCACAGUCCACAAUGACCACAGUACACAAUGACCACACUGCACAAUGACCACAGUCCACAAUGACCACAGUACACAAUGACCACACUGCACAAUGAUAACAGUGUAUAAUGACCACACUGCACAAUGACCACACUGCACAAUGACAACAGUGUACAAUGACCACACUGCACAAUGACCACAGUCCACAAUGACCACACUGCACAAUGACUACAGUGUAUAAUGACCACACUGCACAAUGACCACAGUGUACAAUUACCACACCGUACAAUGACCACAGUCCACAAUGAUCACAGUGUACAAUGACCACAGUGUACAAUGAUCACAGUGUACAAUGACCACAGUGUACAAUUACCACACCGUACAAUGACCACAGUCCACAAUGACCACACUGCACAGUGACCACAGUCCACAAUGACCACAGUACACAAUGACCACACUGCACAAUGAUAACAGUGUAUAAUGACCACACUGCACAAUGACCACACUGAACAAUGACAACAGUGUAUAAUGACCACACUGCACAAUGACCACAGUCCACAAUGACCACACUGCACAAUGACUACAGUGUAUAAUGACCACACUGCACAAUGACCACAGUGUACAGUGACCAGUGUAUAAUGACCACACUGCACAAUGACCACACUGCACAAUGACCAUAGUGUACAAUGACCACAGUGCACAAUGACCACACUGCACAAUGACCACACUGCACAAUGACCAUAGUGUACAAUGACCACAGUGCACAAUGACCUCAGUCCACAAUGACCACACUGCACAAUGACCACACUGCACAAUGACCACAGUGUACAAUGACCACAGUCCACAAUGACCACAGUGUACAAUGACCACAGUGUACAAUGACCACAGUGCACAAUGACCACACUGCACAAUGACCACACUGCACAAUGACCACAGUGUACAAUGACCACACUGCACAAUGACCACAGUCCACAAUGACCACACUGCACAAUGACCACACUGCACAAUGACCACAGUGUACAAUGACCACACUGCACAAUGACCACAGUCCACAAUGACCACACUGCACAAUGACCACAGUGUACAAUGACCACAGUCCACAAUGACCACAGUCCACAAUGACCACAGUGUACAAUGACCACAGUAAGUGAUAAAUGAACAAAAGUCGACUUCACUCACCGUGAAAAAGGGGUUUCCUACAGCUUGAGGAAACCUGACUGGAAGGGCCUGUCAAAAGUGUGAUGGAGGGAGAGCCAAGAUCACCUGCAGGAGAAGAACAAGGAAACACGUUUUGGAAAAAUCCGCAAUCUUUCAGUCACAGAACACUUCCUCUUUCUUAGGUGUCUGUGUGUGUGUGUGUAUGUGUGUGUGUGUGUGUGUGCACGCUUGUGUACGAGCACUCUUGCAUUAUGCAAAAACAGUUGUGUUAUCAUAGUCAGCAAAUGUACAUUUUAAAUAGAAUUUUAUGGUAGACCUAAAAGCAUUUAUUUAAGAAGACGCACUCCUGAAUCUUACCAUUAUCCUCAACAGAUACUCGGACAAAGAACACUUUUUGAAGACCAGUAUCCAUUACACAUCUGGGUGUUAGAGUCAAGGUUUUGAGCAAAAGUGGAGUCAAAUUAUCAGGGAUGAUGAAGUUCAAUUGAAGUAUUUUUAUAUAAGGAUCAUAAGCAAGUUCUUUGUCCGUUACCUCCAGCUGAAAGAAAAGUAUGAAAUAAUCAAAUGUUAAGUAAUGGAAGUUGAAACAGGACUGUCUGUUGCUCCGGAGGAGAAUGAAUCCAUUGUAUCGGUAAUUGGUAAUAUCACUAGAGACUUAAACUUACUUGUGUUUUGUUGAUAAAUGCAGAUCCAUUGUACAAGGCGUAUUGAACUGUAAAUGUUUUCAUGCACAACAAUCAUUGACUCAUUGGACUGAAAAAAUAUCAACAAUGUUUAACAUCAGCAGGUUCAACAGAUUUUGUUGUUGUAAUUAAUGAAGUAUGUUUUGGUGAUGAAUGGAGAGGUUCCUGUAAUGUCUAAGUAUCUGAUUAUAAAAGGUUGAUAUGGGUUGCCAUACACAAGGUCACUGGUUUGAAUCCCAAUCUCACCUUAACAAAUUGUAAUUACUUUCCUUUAUUUAACCAAUCCCUAAACAUACUUGCUUAAACUUUACCACUUCAUUGCUGUCCUUCGAAUAAAAUUAAAUAAGUAAAACUGGAUGUGUUGUGUUGUGUUGAGUUAGUAUUUCACUGAUGAUCCCCAGGUACCCCUUAAGUGUCUCUGCAGGUGCACUAAUCUCCACUAUGUAAGGUGGGCUGGUUGUGACAGAGAUGUAGGUGCAGUUCAUGGAGUCAUCGUAGGAGCAAUAGUUGUAGUAGGAUCUGUGGUUGUUGUAUUAGGAGCUGUAGUUGUUGUAGUAAUAGCAAUUGUUGUUGUAUUAGGAGAUGUGGUUGUUGUAUUAGGAGCU
ensembl:lncRNA